GACAGAGGGGGCAAGCGUUGCUCGGAAUUACUGGGCGUAAAGGGCGCGUAGGCGGGAUGGCAAGUCGGUCGUGAAAUCCCUCGGCUCAACCGAGGAACGUCGAUCGAUACUGCUGUUCUUGAGGAUUGCAGAGGAGACUGGAAUUCCCGGUGUAGCGGUGAAAUGUGUAGAUAUCAAGAGGAACACCGGUGGCGAAGGCGGGUCUCUGGGCCGAUACUGACGCUGAGGAGCGAAAGCGUGGGGAGCGAACAGG
rnacentral:rRNA from 1 species